AGAGUUUGAUCCUGGCUCAGGAUGAACGCUAGCUACAGGCUUAACACAUGCAAGUCGAGGGGAAACGAUAGAGAAAGCUUGCUUUUUCUAGGCGUCGACCGGCGCACGGGUGAGUAACGCGUAUCCAACCUGCCCACCACUUGGGAAUAACCUUGCGAAAGUAAGACUAAUACCCAAUGAUAUCCCACGAAGGCAUCCGAAUGGGAUUAAAGAUUUAUCGGUGAUGGAUGGGGAUGCGUCUGAUUAGCUUGUUGGCGGGGUAACGGCCCACCAAGGCGACGAUCAGUAGGGGUUCUGAGAGGAAGGUCCCCCACAUUGGAACUGAGACACGGUCCAAACUCCUACGGGAGGCAGCAGUGAGGAAUAUUGGUCAAUGGGCGAAAGCCUGAACCAGCCAUGCCGCGUGAAGGAAUAAGGCCCUAUGGGUCGUAAACUUCUUUAGACGCAGAGCAAUAAGGGUCUCGUGAGGCCCGAUGAGAGUAUGCGUAGAAUAAGCAUCGGCUAACUCCGUGCCAGCAGCCGCGGUAAUACGGGGGAUGCGAGCGUUAUCCGGAUUUAUUGGGUUUAAAGGGUGCGUAGGCGGCAAGGUAAGUCAGCGGUGAAAGACCAGGGCUCAACUCUGGAAGUGCCGUUGAUACUGUCUGGCUAGAAUGGUUCCGCCGUGGGAGGAAUGAGUAGUGUAGCGGUGAAAUGCAUAGAUAUUACUCAGAACACCGAUUGCGAAGGCAUCUCACGAAUCCGUUAUUGACGCUGAGGCACGAAAGCGUGGGGAUCAAACAGGAUUAGAUACCCUGGUAGUCCACGCAGUAAACGAUGAUAACUAACCGUCGGCGAUACACAGUCGGUGGCCAAGCGAAAGCGAUAAGUUAUCCACCUGGGGAGUACGUUCGCAAGAAUGAAACUCAAAGGAAUUGACGGGGGCCCGCACAAGCGGAGGAACGUCAC
rnacentral:rRNA from 1 species